GACGAACGCUGGCGGCGUGCUUAACACAUGCGAGUCGAACGGUGAAGGGACCGGUUUUUGCUGGUUCUGGAUGAGUGGCGAACGGGUGAGUAACACGUGAGUAACCUGCCCCCUUCUUCUGGAUAACCGCAUGAAAGUGUGGCUAAUACGGGAUAUUCUGCGCCUGCUGCAUGGUGGGUGUGGGAAAGAUAUUGUUUCGGUGGGGGAUGGGCUCGCGGCCUAUCAGCUUGUUGGUGGGGUGAUGGCCUACCAAGGCGGUGACGGGUAGCCGGCCUGAGAGGGUGGACGGUCACACUGGGACUGAGACACGGCCCAGACUCCUACGGGAGGCAGCAGUGGGGAAUAUUGCACAAUGGGCGCAAGCCUGAUGCAGCGACGCCGCGUGAGGGAUGGAGGCCUUCGGGUUGUAAACCUCUUUCGCCAGUGAAGCAGGCCUGUCCCUUUUGUGGGUGGGUUGACGGUAGCUGGAUAAGAAGCGCCGGCUAACUACGUG
rnacentral:rRNA from 1 species